CAGUAGCCGCGGGAAUACGUAGGGCGCAAGCGUUAUCCGGAAUUAUUGGGCGUAAAGAGCUCGUAGGCGGUUUGUCGCGUCUGCCGUGAAAGUCCGGGGCUCAACCCCGGAUCUGCGGUGGGUACGGGCAGACUAGAGUGAUGUAGGGGAGACUGGAAUUCCUGGUGUAGCGGUGAAAUGCGCAGAUAUCAGGAGGAACACCGAUGGCGAAGGCAGGUCUCUGGGCAUUAACUGACGCUGAGGAGCGAAAGCAUGGGGAGCGAACAGGAUUAGAUACCCGUGUAGUCCCUGUCUCUUAUAA
rnacentral:rRNA from 1 species